rnacentral:ncRNA from 1 species
UUCCGAAGCGCGUGUUUGACGACGAUGUUGGGAAAGCUGACCCCCUUGAGCCGCGCGGUGCGGAUGUAUUGAGCGGUCAUGACUUCGGCCAUCGACGCGCGGGUCAUCCGGGCAAUGUAGCCCAUCCCGUAGAGCGAGAUCGUCAGAACCGGAAGGAAGAAGUUUUCGAAAUUCGCGCUC